ACGGGAGGCAGCAGUGGGGAAUAUUGCACAAUGGGGGAAACCCUGAUGCAGCGACGCCGCGUGAGUGAAGAAGUAUUUCGGUAUGUAAAGCUCUAUCAGCAGGGAAGAUAAUGACGGUACCUGACUAAGAGGCCCCGGCUAACUACGUGCCAGCAGCCGCGGUAAUACGUAGGGGGCAAGCGUUAUCCGGAUUUACUGGGUGUAAAGGGAGCGUAGACGGUUUGGCAAGUCUGAAGUGAAAGCCCGGGGCUCAACCCCGGUAUUGCUUUGGAAACUGUUGAACUAGAGUGCCGGAGGGGUAAGCGGAAUUCCUAGUGUAGCGGUGAAAUGCGUAGAUAUUAGGAGGAACACCAGUGGCGAAGGCGGCUUACUGGACGGUAACUGACGUUGAGGCUCGAAAGCGUGGGGAGCAAACAGGAUUAGAUACCCUGGUA
rnacentral:rRNA from 1 species